ensembl:lncRNA
CGUUCUCCAGCCCCAAUGACUUAAUCGGCUGACAUGAAGUAGAUAAGAUUGUAUUUGUACUGCAACUGGGCAUGGUUGAAGUUUAAUUGUGUUGGUAAACAGAGCCCAGUGGCUGCUUUGGAAUUUCUGCAGAUGCCACAGAAUUAUUCCUCUGCAGUUUGGGACGUGCCUCUUACAUCUUUCACUGAAAUGAAAAUUGCUUCCUGACAGAGCAGAGGCCUCAGUGCUGGAACUAGAGGUGUGGUAGCCCUCUAAGAUUCCAAAGGAUCUUUCGCUUAACACGGAAGAGGAAACCAGGGCAAAUUUCUGGCAAAAUCAAAUGCCAUCUCCUCACUGCAAAAUGCUCGUGUGUUUCAGGAGAGACAAUAAUUGCUAAAUAUCUAGAAAUCUCCUUGCUGGGUUCUCAGGGGCCCCAAGGAUCAAUAAGCCAGGCUGCUGCUGAGAGAAGUCACCGGGUCACUGAGAAAGAGAUCACCUUUGGCUCCUGGUGUUCACCGACGCUGGCGGAAGCAGCAUUUCUCUUGGAUCCAGCAGAUUCACUGGGAACUGGACUAAAAACAUUUUCCUUCACUGUGGGAAAAUCCUGAACAAUGUUUCAGACUUUCAGGAAGACAAAAGAGAUUGGCAUUGUAGCCAGAAUGGAAGUGCUGGCCGUGACACCAUCUCUGCCCCCAGGGGAGUAAGCUUCUGUUCAUUUUACUGCGGCCAUGUGAAUGUACGGCCACCAUAUUUUACCCACUACAAGAUGAUCUUAUCCAGUUUGUAAGUAAGGAUCCAAUCUUCUACUUGGUUCAUACCAACCAAGUUCAUUUCCCUGAGCUUCAUUGUUUGUUGUUUGUUUUACUUUUCCAGUGAACGCAUGAGACAGAUCCACACCAUAGCUAAUCACCAUCAUCUCAUCCCACAUUUAUUAGGACUGUGCAGCAAUGCUAUGCAACAAACACUGGAUUAACAUACACAAUUCUAGGAGACUCACUUGCAUGAAUGCUUGAAAUCUUCAUAGCAGUCCUAUGAGCAAGGUGCUAUUAUUGUCACUCCCAUUUCAUGGAUGAGGAGACUAAGGCACGAAGAGAUCAAGAAGACUGCCUAAACAGUAAAGGAAGGAACUAAGACUCAU